ACCCCACACUGCAUAUGCCGCCGCCUAUCUGGAUGACGUCAUCAUCCAGGGGAACAGCUGGGCGGAACAUAUGCAGAGAGUGGGAGCGGUACUCGAGUCCCUGAGGCGGGUGGGGCUCACCGCCAACCCGAGUGAUCCAUAGGCCGGGAGCGCAGAUGGCCGUGGCAGACUUCCUCUCCCGCACUCAGGCGGGGGGGUGGAGUAGGUGCGGCCGGACGAUGCCCGGCCUAAGUCUGGCAGUGGAGGUAUGUGGGUCGAGAUUGUGAUUAGCACACUGCAGGUGUAAAGAUCAGCGAGACAGCGCACCCUCAGACGGGGGCGUGGCAUGGGCAGGACGGCGAGACGCAGCUGGCAGUGAACGGCCAGCGGAGGAAGAGAGAAUUUUUGGAGAGACUGAAAAGUCAAGAGAGAGAGAGAGCAUGAUAUUGGACAACAAACAUUUAUUAAAAACCCUGUCAAACCUGAACAACUGGCUUCCAGCGUACAUCUGUGGGAACUAAUGUGUGGCGGGCCGAUAAACGAUUAGCUGCGGGCCGCAAAUGGCCCCCGAGCUGCACUUUGGACACCCCUGAGCUAAGCGAAGAGAGACCCAAUGGGAAUGAUGCCAGGAAGGCAUCCCAGCUCUGCUGUAACAAGGUCGUGGGGAGUGCCGUGCCCAGAGGGCUUGGAUCUGUG